rnacentral:rRNA from 1 species
UACGUAGGCAGCGAGCGUUGUUCGGAAUUACUGGGCGUAAAGAGUGUGUAGGCGGUGCUCUAAGUUCGGUGUGAAAUCUCCUGGCUCAACUGGGAGGGUGCGCCGGAAACUGGAGUGCUUGAGCGUGGGAGAGGAAAGCGGAAUUCCUGGUGUAGCGGUGAAAUGCGUAGAUAUCAGGAGGAACACCUGUGGUGUAGACGGCUUUCUAGACCAUAGCUGACGCUGAGACACGAAAGCGUGGGUAGCAAACAGG